rnacentral:rRNA from 1 species
GAGUUUGAUCAUGGCUCAGAUUGAACGCUGGCGGCAGGCCUAACACAUGCAAGUCGAGCGGCAGCGCGGGGCAACCUGGCGGCGAGCGGCGGACGGGUGAGUAACGCGUAGGAAUCUACCCAGUAGCGGGGGAUAGCCCGGGGAAACUCGGAUUAAUACCGCAUACGCCCUAAGGGGGAAAGCAGGGGAUCUUCGGACCUUGCACUAUUGGCAGAGCCUGCGUUGGAUUAGCUAGUUGGUAGGGUAAAGGCCUACCAAGGCGACGAUCCAUAACUGGUCUGAGAGGAUGAUCAGUCACACCGGAACUGAGACACGGUCCGGACUCCUACGGGAGGCAGCAGUGGGGAAUAUUGGACAAUGGGGGCAACCCUGAUCCAGCCAUGCCGCGUGUGUGAAGAAGGCCUU